UACGGAGGGGCUAGCGUUAUUCGGAAUUAUUGGGCGUAAAGGGCGUGUAGGCGGCCGCGUAUGUCCCAUGUGAAAGCCCUCGGCUCAACCGGGGAACUGCAUGGGAAACGGCGUGGCUUGAGUCCGGGAGAGGAGAGCGGAAUUCCCAGUGUAGCGGUGAAAUUCGUAGAUAUUCGCAAGAACACCAGUGGCGAAGGCGGCUCACUGGCCCGAUACUGACGCUGAGGCACGGAAAGCGUGGGGAGCAAACAGGGAUUAAGAUGACCCGAGUAGUCCCGAG
rnacentral:rRNA from 1 species